CUCCUGUGGGUAUCUGUAACGGAUCGGGCCUGCCGACCUAAAGCCAUUUGGUUCCCACUGAGGUGCAGGCCCUGCCUGUCGGAUCUAGUCUCACCGACCUGCCCGCAGGCUGGGUCUGUUUGUGUGUGACGUAAUGCAGCAGAUUUUCACGGUUUAUCCGUGGGCCCAGGACUGUGGUGUUCCCCGGCAGGCCAGAGGCCGUGGGCGAUGGACUUCAGGAAUUACAACUGUCUCGUCAUAAAUACCUGGCCAAUGAGAUGAAGUUGUACCACUUCCAUCAGUCCAGACAUUUGUCAAAGAAGUGCAGUUUAUAAAUGACCAAGUGGAUGAAGCAGCCACACUCUCACCGGUCCAGAUAUUCAUCAAAGAAGAGUAAGG